GCCAGUACCACGAGAUGACUACCAAGAACAGCAGCAGCAGUGGAGUAUAGGCAGUUGGAGCAUAGAAGACAAUGUAUGUGCUACAAAGGGCACAGAGCUGAAGAAGCCCUUGGAGGAGCUCAGAAAAUCGAAACAGAAAUAGUACACUUGGCCUCAUCUUUAAAGACAAGCUUGAAGUUAUUGUCUGAAUGACGGAUUUCUUCAUGCUUGAACACCCCCUAGCAGGUACCUAGCCUAUCUGGUCUCAGGUUUCUGUCCACCCAAGCAGUGUUUAUGGUGACUUUCCAACAAAUUAUUGAUUGGAAUUCUUCAGAGGCAACAAAUCGAGUGAACAUAAUAUCACUGCUCAUCUCAAACUCAGGAAAAGUGUCACAGAUGCUCUGGAAUCUAUAAUCAAAAUAAAAUUGCAUCUCUGGACAUGUCUAUAAGAGGAUUUCUUGAAUGGGUUAACUGAGUGAAAUCCAGGUGAAUCUUGGAAAUUUGGGCAUAAAGACUCUAAAGACUGGAGGAAGGAAAGAAGCACUGUGCAGCUCAGUCUUCCGGAUAUGAUAUGGCCAUUGCACUCAUGAGCUAAAAGCAGCUGUGUUACCUGCUCAAGAUCGACACCCCUGAAAAUUCCAACACAGGUGUGGGGGCAAAAGUAGGUCACUUGAAAAGUUUACUGACAAGAACAUAAAGGCAUAGAUGUUGGAAUUCCCUCAGAAGGACAACCAACUAAUCCUGAUCUUCUCAAAGACAGCAUGUCACUUAGGAUGCUGCGUGAGGUGCUAGGAGCUUGCUAAGUAGCAUUCUGUGAUGCUUCCUAUCUGCCUGAAGAGAAGUUAAUCAAUUUACUGCCUCUGAAUUCCAGGAACUUAACUGCUCUGAAGUCAACUCCUCUGCUCCAAACUGAGCUCACCGCACUCAAUUGAGUUGCACCAAACUCAAAGAUACUGCACCAGCAACAAUUUUCUUGCAUCAUAGCAUAAGAAAAACAAUUAAAACAAUAGAAAAGGAAAGCAACGCAUGCUUCAUAGGAACAAAAUGAAAGGGGUUGUUCAUGAUGGCUUCAGCCUUAAAAUCACAAUUCUACAGAGGCUGAGGCAGGAGGAUCAUGAGUUCCAGAUGAGCCUAAGCACACACAGAUCUUUUAAAGAAAAAGAAACGAAAAGAGUGAAUUUGUGAAUGCUGUCAAGAAUCCCAGGAGAAAACUUUGAAAGAUUCAUGAUGUCAGAGGGGGAAAGUACCUUACAGCACCAACCAAACAACCUUAUUAUUUUUUUAUAUUACUGAUCUUUGGACAUAUGAAGGAAAAAUAAUAUUAAUCAAAAUGUUUGUUUCCAAGAAGAGAAGAACAGAUUGAUUUGUUGAAAAGCAGGGUUGAAUGCAACGUAUAGCAUUUGGAGCAACCAUGGGAUCCACGUGUUUUCAUAUAACAUCUGUCUGCAGCUGGAUGAAGUUCACUGUUCACUGGGGUCUCUGCAAAGGUUCCAGCCUCUGCUCUCUGUUCUGUACUUUAAAUUCCUCAAUUUAAUGCUGGUACCAUGAAGUUACCUCUACUUGGAAAACUCUCAAACCAUUUGCCAGUUCUGACCAGUUACUGAAAUGGCAGCCCCAUCUCAACCUCUGAUGAACAUUUCUCCAUGAAUAUAUUAUCAUCUAAACCAUAUCAUUUCAGGGCUCUAUUCAUUUAGAGAUUAUGACUUUGCUCUUUAGUGUUUUGUAGAAUAGUUUUGCCAGUGACUCUAGAUUGCAACCUCUAGCUCUUAAUAACUCUAUCUACUAAACCGCCAUUCUGAUUCCAUUUCCAUAUCUCUCUGUUAUUAAUAGUAUUUAGUCUUGCAUUGCUAUCUCCAUUGUGACUUUUAGUGAUUAUUCGUCCAAUGAUAGCUACACUUCAUUUUUUAAAUAAAAAUCUCAAUUUUGCCUU
ensembl:processed_transcript